UACGGAGGGGGCUAGCGUUGUUCGGAAUUACUGGGCGUAAAGCGCACGUAGGCGGCUUUGUAAGUUAGAGGUGAAAGCCCAGGGCUCAACCCUGGAAUUGCCUUUAAGACUGCAUCGCUUGAACAUCGGAAGAGGUAAGUGGAAUUCCGAGUGUAGAGGUGAAAUUCGUAGAUAUUCGGAAGAACACCAGUGGCGAAGGCGACUUACUGGACGAUUGUUGACGCUGAGGCGACGAA
rnacentral:rRNA from 1 species